ACGGAAGGCAGCAGUGAGGAAUAUUGGUCAAUGGACGAGAGUCUGAACCAGCCAAGUAGCGUGCAGGAUGACGGCCCUAUGGGUUGUAAACUGCUUUUGUACGGGAAUAAAGUGACCUACGUGUAGGUUUUUGCAUGUACCGUAAGAAUAAGGACCGGCUAAUUCCGUGCCAGCAGCCGCGGUAAUACGGAAGGUCCGGGCGUUAUCCGGAUUUAUUGGGUUUAAAGGGUGCGUAGGCUGUGCCGCAAGUCAGUGGUGAAAGCCCGGGGCUUAACUCCGGAACUGCCAUUGAUACUGUGGUGCUGGAAUACGGAUGCCGUGGGAGGAAUGAGUAGUGUAGCGGUGAAAUGCAUAGAUAUUACUCAGAACACCGAUUGCGAAGGCAUCUCACGAAUCCGUCAUUGACGCUGAGGCACGAAAGCGUGGGGAUCAAACAGGAUUAGAUACCCUGGUA
rnacentral:rRNA from 1 species